rnacentral:rRNA from 1 species
GACGAACGCUGGCGGCGUGCCUAAUACAUGCAAGUCGAACGCAGUGGGGACGGGGGAGUAACACGUGGGUAACCUCCCAUCAGAGGGGAUAACACUUGGAAAAAGGUGCUAAAACCGAUACGGAUGGAUGGACCCGCGGUGCAUGAUCUAGGUGGUGAGGUAACGGCUCACCAAGGCCACGAUGCAUAGCGGCCACGAAAGGGAGACUGGCCACACUGUGACUGAGAAAGGGCCCCGACUCUUACGGUGGGCAGCAGUAGGGAAUCUUACGCAAUGGACGAAAGUCGGACAGAGCAACGUCGGGUGAGUGAAGAAGGUUUUAGGAUCGUAAAACUAUGUUGUUAGAGAAGCGGUAUCUAACCAGAAAGCCCCGGCUAACUACGUGCCAGCAGCCGCGGUAAUUC